rnacentral:rRNA from 1 species
GACGAACCGUGCGAACGUUGUUCGGAAUCACUGGGCUUAAAGGGCGCGUAGGCGGGUUUGCAAGUCUGCGGUGAAAGCCCCCAGCUUAACUGGGGAAGUGCCGUGGAUACUGCGGACCUUGAGGAGGGUAGGGGCAUCUGGAACAUUGGGUGGAGCGGUGAAAUGCGUUGAUAUCCAAUGGAACUCCGGUGGCGAAGGCGAGGUGCUGGACCCUUUCUGACGCUGAUGCACGAAAGCUGGGGGAGCAAACAGG